CGGUACCUGUGAGACCCGAACAGAAGGGAAAGGCAGCUCACAGGAGGCCAGGUGGUGACGCCUGACCUGUCCGCAUGGAAUUUGUAAUAAAAACGAUGGUCGCUCCCAGUUCCUGGGCACAGAGACCUGCAGCACAAGUGUGACAGAAGCAGCCAGGUGGGACCUGGAGUCCCAGGUGUGGAGAUGGAUCUGUGGCCUCCCAGCUGAAGGGAUGACAGAAUUUCCUGGAUCACCUGAUCCACCUAAUUGCUGAUCUGAGAAAAGGCUUCAAAACACCAAACAGCUGGGAAGAACUGGAGCUGCAAACAGCAAUUUAUGCUAAAGGAAGAAGAGUUUUGCCUUUGUCCACUGCAUCAGAAGGGAGAAGGACAUGUGGCACCACAUGUCCACGACCCUCCUCAGAUGAGAGAUGAUCCCCACCAACUCUGCCACUCCAUCAGGUCCAAACCUACAGUCUGUGCAGGAGUUUUCAUCAGGAGUUGUGCUGUGACCUUGGGAACCACACCCGGAGCCCCGUGGGGAAUCCAGCCCUUCUCCUGUUCAUCUCUCCUAUCACAUGUGAUUCAUACCUUUCUCAGCUCUGCUCCUGGGUGCUCCCAUGCUCUGCCGUUGUGUUAUAAAUGAG